rnacentral:rRNA from 1 species
CCUACGGGAGGCAGCAGUGAGGAAUAUUGGUCAAUGGACGAGAGUCUGAACCAGCCAAGUAGCGUGAAGGAUGACUGCCCUAUGGGUUGUAAACUUCUUUUAUAUGGGAAUAAAAUGUUCCACGUGUGGGAUUUUGUAUGUACCAUAUGAAUAAGGAUCGGCUAACUCCGUGCCAGCAGCCGCGGUAAUACGGAGGAUCCGAGCGUUAUCCGGAUUUAUUGGGUUUAAAGGGAGCGUAGGUGGAUUGUUAAGUCAGUUGUGAAAGUUUGCGGCUCAACCGUAAAAUUGCAGUUGAAACUGGCAGUCUUGAGUACAGUAGAGGUGGGCGGAAUUCGGGGUGUAGCGGUGAAAUGCUUAGAGAUCACGAAGAACUCCGAUUGCGAAGGCAGUUCACUGGACUGCAACUGACACUGAGGCUCGAAAGUGUGGGUAUCAAACAGGAUUAGAUACCCGGGUAGUC